UUUUUCUUCGUUGUUUGGCAGGAUGGUCAGAAACUCUUUAACUCACAAUUCUCUAUAGAGUAGCUUUCGAAAGGAAGCCUCCUCUUCUAGCCAGGUCACCUCCUUAUGUUUUUACCCCACAGGAUUUUUUUCCUCUGCCCGGCAGUUGUAUUGUGCCAUGUGUCCUCUAUGCGUGACCCUGCCAGUUGCAAAGAACCUGUUUGUCAUGUCUGGUGGUUGGAAAAAGCCCCAGUAUCUGGGUUGCAGCUAAUCCUGUGCAUUAGGUAGAAGGUGUAUGUACUCUUUCCAGUGUGCCCUUCACCUUUGAGCCUGAAAACUUCAGAUGUUUGGGGGUUUUUUGUAGAGCUGGAUUUGAGCAGAAGUUUUGUAAGAUAUACGUUGAUAGUUUUAAGAGCUGUUCAUUAUUGUCCAUAGAUGUUCACAUGGGAAUUCAUGGCUUCUCUCCUCCAUGGCGAAGAGGAAAAUCGGCUGUGUCUCCUUUGCUACUAUGUGCUGAAGUCUUCCUAUGAAUUUGUAGGCUAAGCAUUUUGAUGUUCUGCUGUAUCAGCGUGGUCUUGGUGAACAUGUAACACACACUCCAGAGUGGCAGCAGCUGGAGAGAAGAAUCCGCUGAUUUCAAAAUCCAUUGACCCGUCAUUCUGGAGGUUCUGGGAAUUUCAUUCAUGAUGGUACUUUGGAGCUCUUGUUUGCAGCUUUGGGGGGGGAAAAAGACAUAAAAGGCCUUAAAAUCAAGUCUGUAGUGCUACUUUCUGUAUAAUUUUGCUGUUCCCUUCACUAAGGCUGGUUUGAUGGUGUCACAUAGCCCAUGGUGGGGUUCUUUCUGUGCACACCCCAUAGCAGCAAAGUCAUUUUUCUAAGUAAUUACAUUGGAGUUCUUGAUUGAUCAACUUUAAGAAGCUUGGUGUUGGCUCAUGGCCCAUCAUUCUUUUCCUUCCAGGAAGAAUAAUAAUAGUAGCCAGUAACCAAACAAUCUCUUUAAAACAAAAUAUUUACAACAAAAUCAUUUUAGGCAGUACUAAAUGUAAACAUAAGCAGGCUGCAGUGUAAGCAAGCCCAGCUUAUGCAGUGUUGAUACCCAUCAGAUGAAAUUCCAUGAAAGUCUGAAUUUUUUGUUAUGUACCCUCCAAAACUUCUAGGAACUGGCAAAGUAAUGAUGACUGCAGCUCACAACCCAGUUCUUUGCCAUCCCCAGUUGCUUAGGCCUCCAGCCGGUCCCCUGGGAUCAAGUCACACUUUAAUCCUCACUACUCCUGGCUCUGUUAAUCGCACAAGGAGGCCUUUGGUUUAUGAGGUUGUCAGGUCUGUGAGCGGAUGGGUUUGCUCUUUGUUAGGGAGCGAGCAGAUGGUGGGAAGGCUUGGACGGAGCAGUCGGGAUUGAGGGAGAGGGCAGGGAUGUGCUGUGGCAGUACUAGCUCGCACCAGCCAGCUUAAAGGGAUUGUGAAAUUGGUGCCUGAGAUUGCUGAAUUUUGGGAGAAGAUAAAUGAGUUGUUUCAUGUGCA